AAGCUCCAGACGCAAGCGCAAUGAAGCCUUCAGAGGGGCGGGACGAGGUCAGGGAGACAAAAGGCCGGUCUCUUAAAGCGGCGAUGCUCCGCGCACUUCGGAGGUGGGGCCACGGGUCGAACAGUCUUCCAGAUCUGAAAGAGAUCCCGGUGUCUUGAAGGGAGGCCUGGGAGACAUCCUGUUUCGGUCUGACUGCUCUGAAGUCACACAGUCUCUUUAUGCUGUUCAACUGUGGGUCUCUGUCAACUAUCUACUGUAAGAAGACGCUUCUUUGAUUUACCAAUGGCCUUAAUCUUUGCAAAGAUCUUAAAGAAACCAACAGUAAGAACCAUGCUCAGGGGGCUGGAGAGAUGACUCAGCACUGACUGCUCUUCCAGAGGAUCAAGGUUCAAUUCCAAGCAUUCGCAUGACAGCUCACAACUGUCUGUAGCUCCAGUUCCAGGGGAUCUGGCACUUUCAGACAUAAGUGAAAGCAAAACACCAAUGUACAUGAAAUAAAAGUAAAUAAAUCCUUAAAAAAAUAAGAAA